rnacentral:tRNA from 1 species
GUGGGUAUAACCUAAUGGUAAAGCACAUGAUUAGCAUGCAGGCUUCCCUGAGUUUGAUCCUCAGUACUCACG